UAUCUCAGGUGGUUUUGGUGUAUCUCAGGUGGGUUUGGUGUAUCUCAGGUGAAUUUUGGUGUAUCUCAGGUGGGUUUUGGUGUAUCUCAGGUGGGUUUUGGUGUAUCUCAGGUGGGUUUUGGUCUAUCUCAGGUGGUUUUGGUGUAUCUCAGGUGGGUUUGGUGUAUCUCAGGUGGUUUUGGUGUAUCUCAGGUGGGUUUGGUGUCUCUCAGGUGGGUUUUGGGUCUCUCAGGUGGUUUUGGUGUCUCUCAGGUGGGUUUUGGUGUAUCUCAGGUGGUUUUGGUGUAUCUCAGGUGGGUUUGGUGUCUCUCAGGUGGGUUUUGGUGUCUCUCAGGUGGUUUUGGUCUAUCUCAGGUGGGUUUGGUGUAUCUCAGGUGGUUUUGGUGUAUCUCAGGUGGUUUUGGUGUCUCUCAGGUGGGUUUGGUGUCUCUCAGGUGGGUUUUUGGGUCUCCCAGGUGUCUCUCAGGUGCACCGGUUGGUUACUGGCUGGUUACUGGUUGGUUAGCGGUUGGUUAGCGGUUGGUUAGUGGUCGGUUAGUGGGCCCCGGGCAGCGGUCGCUGGGGUCGCUUCCCGCGGUCACCGGGUCCCUCCAGCCGGUUGACGCCUUUGCCGCCGUCGUGGUCGCCAUGGAGACCGUGGAGAUGCUUCUGCUGGUGGUGGUGGCCAUGGAGAUCGUUGUGGUCACCAUGGAAACCAUCGUGGUUGCCGUGGAGACCGUGGAGAUGCUUCUGCUGGUGGUGGUGGCCGUGGAGAUCAUUGUGGUUGCCGUGGAGACCAUGGAGAUGCUUCUCCUGGUGGUGGUCAUGGUGGUCGCCAUGGAGACCGUGAAGAUGCUUCUCCUGGUGCUGGUGGCCCUGGAGAUCGUUGUGGUCGCCAUGGAAACCGUGAAGGUGCUUCUCCUGGUGCUGGUCCCCGUGCUUCUCCUGCUGGUGGUGGCCGUGGAGACCGUGGGGAUGUUUCUCCAGGUGAUGGUUGCCAUGGAGACCAUCGUGGUCGCCAUGGAGAUCCUUGUGGUUGCCCUGGUGACCGCCAUGGUGGUCCCUGUGCUUCUCCUGGUGGCGGUUGCCAUGGUGACCGUCGUGGUCGCCGUGGAGAUCAUAAAGAUGUUUCUCCAUGUGGUGGUUGCCAUGGAGACCAUCGUGGUGGUGGUCCCCAUGGUUUUCAUGGUGGUGGUUGCCAUGGAGACCAUAAUGGUUGCUAUGGAGAUGGUGGGGAUGCUUCUCCUGGCGGUGGUUGCCAUGGAGACCGUCGUGGUGGUCCCCGCGCUUCUCCUGGUGAUGGUUGCCAUGGAGAUCGUCGUGGUUGCCAUGGAAACCAUCGUGGUUGCCAUGGAAACCAUGGGCAUGCUUCUCCUGGUGGUGGUCGCCAUGGAAACCAUCGUGGUUGCCAUGGAAACCAUCGUGGUUGCCAUGGAGAUCAUCAUGGUUGUCAUGGUGACCGUGAUGCUGGGCGUGGUCCCCGUGCUUCUCCUGGUGGUGGUUGCCAUGGAGACCAUGAAGAUGUUUCUCCAGGUGAUGGUUGCCACGCAGAUGGUGGUGGUUGCCAUGGUGACCGUCACGGACAUCCCCGUGCUUUUCCUGGUGGUGGUUGCCAUGGUGACCAUCGUGGUCGCCAUGGCGACCGUGGGGAUGUUUCUCCUGGUGGUGGUCACCAUGGUGACCAUGAAGAUGCUUCUCCUGGUGGUGGUCACCAUGGAGACCAUGGUGGUUGCCAUGGAGACCAUGGGGAUGCUUUUCAUGGUGGUUGCCGUGGAGAUCGUUGUGGUUGCCAUGGUGACCAUGAAGAUGUUUCUCUUGGUGGUGGUCACCAUGGAGACCAUCGUGGUU
rnacentral:lncRNA from 1 species